GGGCCGAUAGAUCAAUGGUAGAUCGCAUGCUCGGCAUGCAUGAGGCUCCGGGUUCGAGUCCCGGUCGGUCCA
rnacentral:tRNA from 1 species